AUUGAACGCUGGCGGCAGGCUUAACACAUGCAAGUCGAGCGGGGUGAUGGUGCUUGCACUAUCACUUAGCGGCGGACGGGUGAGUAAUGCUUAGGAAUCUGCCUAUUAGUGGGGGACAACAUCCCGAAAGGGAUGCUAAUACCGCGUACGUCCUACGGGAGAAAGCAGGGGAUCACUUGUGACCUUGCGCUAAUAGAUGAGCCUAAGUCGGAUUAGCUAGUUGGUGGGGUAAAGGCCUACCAAGGCGACGAUCUGUAGCGGGUCUGAGAGGAUGAUCCGCCACACUGGGACUGAGACACGGCCCAGACUCCUACGGGAGGCAGCAGUGGGGAAUAUUGGACAAUGGGGGGAACCCUGAUCCAGCCAUGCCGCGUGUGUGAAGAAGGCCUUAUGGUUGUAAAGCACUGUAAGCGAGGAGGAGGCUCUUUUGGUUAAUACCCAAGAUGAGUGGACAUUACUCGCAGAAUAAGCACCGGCUAACUCUGUGCCAGCAGCCGCCGUAA
rnacentral:rRNA from 1 species